rnacentral:tRNA from 1 species
GCCGCUGUGAUGGAAUUGGCAGACGUGCUUGACUCAAAAUCAAGUGUCCUCUGGACGUGCCGGUUCGACUCCGGCCAGCGGCACCA